rnacentral:lncRNA from 1 species
GUGCGGCUGGUGGUGAGUGCGGGUGGUCGUGGGGUGGAGAGUGUGGGGCUUGUUCUCGCUUGCCGGGAGUGGGCUGAGGAUGUCUGGUCUGUUCCAGCGGCCCUUUGCGAUGUGUGCGAGGGGGGGAGUUUGGGUGGACGUGUCCGAGGUUAGCCGUGGGUCGAGGCUGGUCGAUGGGGUGUGCUGAGGGGGAUUUGGAAGGUAGUUGCAGAGCAGGAGGGUGCUGGGGAGGCCUUAAAAGGGUUCAGCUGCUCUGAGGGCUUAAGCUUUGCUGCCAGGAAUGGCGGGUCUUGCCCCGCGGAAGCCAUGUGCCGGCUUGGCACCUGUUAACUAGCCUGCUGGAGGAGGCUUGUGCAUUUGUAUGUUCAUGUUCCCGUCACCUGGGAUGUUCAUGGUCUUGGCAGGAGGUGUGUGGUGUCUCCUCACCGCGGGGCUGGAGGGGUGCGUGGGGGAGGCCGUGGCCUGAUGGGUGGGAUGGGUGUUGUGAUAUCGUGACGUGCCCUUGGCGGGUGAUCACGCUGGGUGCGGCUGUAGAGGCUGUCACCCCCCGGAAAGGGGAGUACCCGCAGUACAGUGUGGCAAGUCCACCAGUGUGCAAACCUGCCCGUGCCAGACGGAGGGACCCAAGUGGAGUCCGAGUUGAGUUGUUGAAGGUUUUUUUUUGUUUGUUUGUUUUUUCUCAAAAGCAGCAGGGUCCUGACUGUGUGCGGAGCUGCAGUGCUCCUUGGCUCACAGCCUGGUGCCGCUGCCCUAGCGCACCCCUGGUGCCAGGGAAGGCGCAGUUCCCUUCCCGCAAGCGGCUGCUCUCCUUCGGGUCAGAGCCGGCCCCUCUGUGCGAGGCUGGGAUGCUUUCCCGGCCGGCUGGGGCAAAGGACUGUCCCUCCGCGCUGUGUGCCGUGGCACAAACACCGGCCUCCAUCUCGGCAGUUCUCUGCCAGAGGCCGCGCUGGGUCCCGGCCGUGACGGGGCUGCCUCCCCACUGCUGGCCGGUGGCCCGAGCCCAGGGUACGCCUGCUUCCCGGCUCAGGGACCAGUGGCUGCGCAGCCUCAGGAACGAGAUCGGCAUCGCCCUGUUGGCGCUUUGGCGGGACUGUCCCAGCUCCACAGGCAGCGGAGUAGCCCCGCGGGCUCGCUGGAAGGUGGCUGAACCCCCACACAUCGCGGCGGCGGCUCGGGGCCUUUCCGGGCCCGCUG